CUUGACCUCAAAUCAGGUAGGACUACCCGCUGAACUUAAGCAUAUCAAUAUCCUCCGCUUAUUGAUAUGCGAUCAAGUUCUCAGCAACAGGGA
rnacentral:rRNA from 1 species